GGGUCAAUGAUGAAAACCUAAUGUCGCGAAGUGAGGUGACGACAUUAAAAUCGUACUCAAUGGGAAUUAGCUGAGGCCC